UUCUGACUCACCGAAGCUUCAUUUUACUCUCUUCAUUUUAAUAUUUUUUUUCCUUUAAUGAAUCUACUAAAAGAUUAUGCCCUCCAAUAAAUAUGCAUAUCAUUUAUUUUGCAUGUUUUUUUUUUUUAACAAACAUGAAACAUUAGCUUAUAAAAGCUGUAGAUCUCUUGUCUGCUGCCUUUGCAAGCCCUCCCCUUCUAACCACGCCCAGACUUUCUGUAGCGGU